UCCGAGUUGACCCCGGCAGUCUCCUAUGAGUCCCCACCAUAACGUGCUGGCAACAUAGGACGAGGGUUGCGCUCGUUGCGGGACUUAACCCAACAUCUCACGACACGAGCUGACGACAGCCAUGCAGCACCUAGUUUCGGGCCAUUGCUGGCUGCACCCUUUCAGGCACAUUCCCUAACUUUCAAGCCCUGGUAAGGUUCCUCGCGUAUCAUCGAAUUAAACCACAUGCUCCUCCGCUUGUGCGGGCCCCCGUCAAUUCCUUUGAGUUUCACCGUUGCCGGCGUACUCCCAGGUGGAUUACUUAUCGCUUUCGCUAAGCCACUGAAUGUUGCCAUCCAGCAGCGAGUAAUCAUCGUUUACAGUGCGGACUAC
rnacentral:misc_RNA from 1 species